rnacentral:rRNA from 1 species
UGGGGAAUAUUGGACAAUGGGCGCAAGCCCGAUCCAGCAAUGCCGCGUGAGUGAGGAAGGCCUUAGGGUUGUAAAGCUCUUUCACCCGCGACGAUGAUGACGGUAGCGGGAGAAGAAGCCCCGGCUAACUUCGUG